GACGAACGCUGGCGGCGUGCUUAACACAUGCAAGUCGAACGGUAAGGCCCUUCGGGGUACACGAGUGGCGAACGGGUGAGUAACACGUGGGUGAUCUGCCCUGCACUUCGGGAUAAGCCUGGGAAACUGGGUCUAAUACCGGAUAGGACUCCUGGCUUCAUGGUUGGGGGUGGAAAGCUUUUGCGGUGUGGGAUGGGGCCGCGGCCUAUCGGCUUGUUGGUGGGGUAAUGGCCUACCAAGGCGACGACGGGUAGCCGGCCUGAGAGGGUGACCGGUCACACUGGGACUGAGAUACGGCCCAGACUCCUACGGGAGGCAGCAGUGGGGAAUAUUGCACAAUGGGCGCAAGCCUGAUGCAGCGACGCCGCGUGAGGGAUGACGGCCUUCGGGUUGUAAACCUCUUUCAGCUAUGACGAAGCGCAAGUGACGGUAGUAGCAGAAGAAGGACCGGCCAACUACGUGCCAGCCGCCGCGGUAAGAC
rnacentral:rRNA from 1 species